AGUGGACUUUUUUCUCGGCGUAUUCAUUCAGCUUAUGUUAACAGUGAUAGAGCUUAAUGUGUGCUUUGUAAAAUUGGAAUUACAUAAGUAUUUGGAAACAAUCAAAAUUGAACUCGCGGCUAUUAUUGCUGAUAUGAAAUCAGAUAAGAAGACCAAACCACAAAUGUCUGAUAUUUUGAUAUCUCUUCGGGCGCUCAGUAAGGCUUUUGUGACAUCAUGUAACAUAUGUUUUAAAUACAAUGAUUCCGAUAGUUUACUGGCCUUGGCAUUAUCAUCAACGUGUACAAUAAAUUUAAUAAGAACUAUAUACAACUUCUCACAAGCUUGUACAUCAGCUGAUGUUGACCAUAAGACGUUUCAAAUAUUUGUGGAAUUUUGUUCUUUGGUGUUGCAUUUAUUUAGAAUAAUUUUAUACGUGGAUUCAUCUUCGGAAAUAAGCAAGGAAGUGGACGAAAUAAGAUAUCAAAUAGCACAAUUAUCUCAAUUAGUCACGUCUGUUGGAAAGAUAAUGCCUCUGGAAGCUGAAAUGUUUCAGUUGGUCGUGUUAAUCAAUAAUCCUGUGCUGAUGCCAAUGGGUUUAUUCACAGUGUCUCGAGGUC